UUGUCGCUCAAAAAUGCAGAGCCACCAAAAUCGUCGCUUCUGCUGCGUUGCUGUGUUCCAGGUUGAAGAAGUUCUUUUUUUUGGCUCUGAUUGCAGCCCAACCCAAUCCAAUGGCCCUAUCUGAAUAGAAGACCAUGGACGAGGAGCUCUAGCAGAGUAACAGUCUUUAAUCUCUUAAUUUUCCUCACUUUUACAGUUUAUCUCCAAUUCUCCUUGGCCAAAAUUUCAAAUUUUCACCUCUCUCAAGUCUCAAUCUCUGACUCUAUCUCUCUGAAAUUUGAAUUUCGCGCAACCGGAAUCCCUAAUUUGGAGCGUCGCCGACUCGCCGUGAGGUUUGCCACUGGUGUUGUCGAAUCGGACUGGUGGUGGUUGGACUGCGUGAGCGUCACUUUGCGAUUGCAACUUGUGAGACUCUAUGGCUCUGCCUCUCUGUCUCUGGUUCUCUGACUCUGCCUCUCUAGCUUUAGAAUCUGGAUCGCUGCUCUUCUCCUCCCCUUUGCUGCUAGUUCAUCAGAAAUGGCAUCGAGUCAAGCUAAUGCAAGUGAAAAUCCGACUAAUAUUCCAACUUCUCAGUCAGGAAGUAUAGCUUGAAUUCCUAGUAAAAGAAAAGUUGCUAAGAAUGCUCUUGGAAGUAGAACUGAUGUAGGAUGGGAGCACGGGAUAUCUGUUGAAAAAAAUGGAAAGAAGAUACAAUCUAAAUACUGUCAUAAAAUUUUUUCAGGGAGAGUUUAUAGAUUGAAACACCACUUAGCAGGAACUCAAAAAGAUGUUCUGGCUUGUACAGCUGUUAGUGAUAAAGUUAAGAAGCAAAUGUGAAAUGUUGUGAUUGGGUUGCAAGUGAAUUUGAUGAAAAAACAAGCAUGGAUGGGGCAAGCCCAGGUGAAGCUACUAAAGAAGUUGACAUUACCGGUGAAAAGAAAGGGAAAAGAAUUAGAUGACAACAUAUUCAAGAAAACACGCAUUAAUACUCAAACAACAAUCAACAAUAUUUUUAAGAAGAAUUUGAGAGAGGAAGUAUGUUUAGAAAUUAGUACUUUUUUCUACAACAAUGGUAUCCCUUUUAAUGUAUCAAGGAGUGAGGAAUACAGUAGAAUGUUUGAGAAAGCUAUAAGAUAUGGACAAGGAUUCAAGCCACCAUCCUACCAUGAAUUAAGGGUGCCUCUUUUGAA